CUUCAGUCCAUUCUGGACCCCAUGACUCGGACACUAGUUCUACCAAGGCUCAUUAGAGAGUGCUUCAGAGGAUGGCUGAAUUCACAAAACGUGGAGAAGACCGAGAAGGAGAAGUUGGCCGGUUACUACAUUUCACAAAAAAUACAGGACCUUGUGAAAAACGGAAAGAAACAGUUGAAGGAAAUUGCUUAAAGAUAUGAAGUAAUGGGUGUUUUGAAAAUGUUUUCAAAUGUGUGUUAAUGUUCAUUGUGUGUUAUAAAUUAUUUUCCUGCUUCUAA